rnacentral:precursor_RNA from 1 species
UUGGUUGGUUAUCCACUGGAGUUCUCCUCAAACCACUUCAGCAGAUAGCUAGCUAGGCCUCAUUGCAUUGCACCACUGUUGCAUAACUAUGAGCAUGGGGCCAAAAGUUAGCUGCUUAUAGUGAAGUGUUUGGGGAAACUCCGGUUGGCAACCAGCAUUUUCAAGUUUGGUCUGUAAGUUUUUGUACUUCAGGAAUUACAUGUGAUGGCCAUAUAUAUGAUAUUCAAUUUUUAAAUGAUGGAGGUUUGGAGCCCCCAGGAAUAAGGGCCAUACCCAGCAUCUUAGGCCCCAGUGCGAAACACAAAACGAAACCUUAUAUUUAGAAAUAUCAAUAAAAGGAUACUAAAUUAUUCAGAAAAAAAUAUUACGUAAAUGGUGGCGGUCACCUCCUUAAGUAAGAAAAAUAAGUGAGUCUUAAUGUAAUUAUUUGAUUUUCUUUAUCAAGCAGAAAAAUGGAAUGUUUAGUACCUAGAACGCACGUUCAUGUCACCGCUAUAAACUAUAUUUCUUUAAGGUUGCCAUGAUUAUUAUUGAACAUCUAUUUGAUCCAAAGAAAAUAAAUAUGUUAUAGCCAAAUCAAUACAUCAAGAUGAGCGGAACUUUUGAAAAAACAAAAUGAAUAGGAUAAAACCAUAUUGGAAAUUAGUGUCUUGUAUUGAAAUAUGAGAAUUUUGGGGGG